rnacentral:rRNA from 1 species
AAUGGGGGCAACCCUGAACCAGCCAUGCCGCGUGGAGGAAGACGGCCCUAUGGGUUGUAAACUCCUUUUGCACGGGAAUAAAGGUACCCACGUGUGGGUGCGUGAAGGUACCGUGCGAAUAAGCAUCGGCUAACUCCGUGCCAGCAGCCGCGGUAAUACGGAGGAUGCAGNCGUUAUCCGGAUUUAUUAGGUUUAAAGGGUGCGCAGGCGGCCCGGUAAGUCAGCGGUGAAAGUUUGCAGCUCAACUGUAAAAUUGCCAUUGAUACUGCCGGGCUUGAAUACGGUAGAGGUAGGCGGAAUGUGUAGUGUAGCGGUGAAAUGCUUAGAUAUUACACAGAACACCGAUUGCGAAGGCAGCUUACUAUGCCGCGAUUGACGCUCAGGCACGAAAGCGUGGGUAGCGAA